rnacentral:lncRNA from 7 species
GGCCAUUCCCUCCCUCGAUCCAUUGGCACCAUGCGAGCACCUGCCCCCACCGGCCCCAGGAAGCUCCUGCUGGCAGCAGGCAGGGCACCCCAAGCUGCCAAAAGCUGCUGCUGUAAAGGCUUUCCCUCCCCUUCCCCUGGGAGGGAUGUGCUGGCAGCAUCCCCUUGCUUUGGAAAUGGAUCCCUGCAGUGCAACCCACGGUACCGGCUGACACGGUGGCUCUGCUCUGCUACCCACGGGCCAGAAGAACCACCCAGCGCCUUUAUUCCCCCCCUGCCCCGGGUGCACGUUGCAUCCUGGAGGUCUCACUCAUGCCUGCAGGAGCAAAGCCCCGGCCUCCUCCUCACCGGCCACAUCAGCUGAUGCUCCCACCAGAACAUUCCCCUCUGCCUCCCCUCGCAGUUACGGUGCAGCAAACACCAGAAGGCUGUGGCGGUGCUUCUUGCUGAUCCCUGCCCACAACCCAGCUGCCAACCUGGACUCGGACGUGUGGCACCCAGCCGGCUCCGUAUCAUCCUUUGCUUUGUGAGUAUCAAUGUGUUAGGUGCAAGUGUUGCAGCUAAAGAGCAAUAGUAACUUAUGAAGACCGCAACCGCUUCGCCACCAUCAGCCAGCAACGAACUAUUUUCUGCUGCUCUUUCCUGACUGUGAAGACCAGGUUUUUCAAAAAGGGCUGCAACGAAACAGCUUCAGCCAGGCUGAAACUCUGCUUUACUGCUUGUUGGGAAGCACUGUCAGGUACGGACCAAACCAAACACUUCCCUGGCAUUGUGGUGAGUCGUUGUGUCGCUUAGCUCUGGAUCAGCUGAAGCACUGCAAAGGGGAGAGUGUGGAAAUGUUGGUGCAUCUGUUGGUGUUGUCGGUUCUGUACUUAUCAUGGAAAAAGGGCCGUGGAAAACGCUCGCUGUCCUGCCCAAAUCCCAAGAAAGCCGCAUGGUCCUCCCCGCGUGCAUCGGCUGCCCCGCAUUUCACUGAAGACCUUUUGCUGGACGCCGCUCCUUGGCACAACCUCUGUGCUGUGGGAGGUGUUACACAGAGCUCCGCCUCCAGGAAGCCCACACAUGGAGACUCACAGCCCCCAUACUCUUCAGGGGCAGCUUCGUUCCAUCCUGCUGUUGCGUCCUCACCUUUUUGGGAUGAGCCACGCACGCGCUCAGCCGGCAGAGCCUCCUCUCGCCCUACAGCUGCACAGCACCACGGGGGCACCGCACAGGGCUUUCUCCCACAAGUACACUUCUUUUUUGAGCUGCUCAGUCUGAACAACACCUUCUACACGUCAACACCAACGCUUCAUUGGCACUCAGAAUGGCCCGAGAAGAGCCCUAAAUGCAGACAGGCCUAACGUUCCUUCCAGCCUAAAGUGAAGGCUUCCCCCAGGUGCUCAGUGGCGAUGCAUCCCCGUGGUUCCCAGCUGUGGUUUCUCUGCGUUUGUGCACACAACUCAUUUUCAGGCAGUUUUGGGAUUGAUUUUCCUACCUGGAACUCAGCAUUUCCAGUCCGCCUGCAUACCACCCCAAGCGACCGUGGCACCAGAUGAGCUGGGAUAAGUGCAGCGAGCCCAGCAGGAGCCCGUACCACCUACCAGCCAUCCUUCUUCCCCAUCGUCUGUAAUCGUGACCUCUCCCUGCACUCACCCAGAGGGCAGCAGCACUCCCUCGGUAUGCUUCCGCCCUAGUGAGGAGGGAACCGAUGCCUGCGUGCAUCAUCUGCUCCCUACAUGGAGUUGGUGCUGGUGCCCUGACGUUCAGCCUGCCUUCUGUUUCUGUGCUGGUGCCCGACCCGACCCCUGCGGUCAUGGAGGAGGGCUCGUGUGCCCACUGAUCUUGCCAACUGGUUGUGAUGUGCUGUGUUUUGAUACUGUGGAUUUUUUCCUCUCUCACUCUCUCUUUUUUUUUUUUUUUUUUUUAAGUUAAAUAUAUUCUAUUGCUG